GUGCAAUCAGGUGUCUCUCACCUGUCCUUCCCUCCCCUCCUUCCUCUCCUUUCCUUGCGGACUGGCUUGCUGUGCCUAACGGAUGGGCUGUUGACUGGGUCCGGCCGCCUGGCCCGUUGGAAACAGCGCCCUCCCUUAACAGCAGUUCAAGCCGUGCCUUCUCUUGCAGAAUGCAUGUCUUUGUGAGUCUGCUACCACGGAAUGGAAUUCUGCCACAAAUGCAAGCUUGAAGUCAUGCAAAGGAAUGACACGGAUUUCUCCAGCUCUUAGGAAUAUUUAAAUUACUCUCAUAAUUCAGUGUAAGCUAUGGGCCGCUAGUGUCCCACUAGGAGGCGGCAAGAGCCUCCACAGCCUUUUUGGAUGAAGAACUUGUUUGCAAGUACUCGUUGCAGAUACAGAGACUGGUAGAGUUCUGCUGCUCGAAGCUGUUGUGGAGACAGAAGACACCGGCACUUUAAACUCUGUGUGUGGGUAUGCGUGGUGUAUGUUUGGGAAGAAAAAACAAAGGUGCAGACUAUCUUCCUCUCUCUUCAGCCUCCAGCCCCGGCCUCCUCCCCUCACACACUCUGGACUUGGUACCGAAUAAUCCCGUGUGGUCCUAGCUGAAGCACUGGGGUGGAGGAGGGAGGGGGAGCUUCGUGUUAAGUGCCUACUGGAAAUGCACUGUGGGGUUUUUUCCUGUAUGGGAAACCGUUUAUGCCAAGCUUUCCCCCAAUGCCCUAUAUUUAUCUCAUCUGGUUAGCUGCCUCUGCUUCUGGCUUUGUGUAAUUCUCUUUGCCAGCUGCAUCGAGCUGGGUUUCUGUCCCCAAAGUCUAAUGACUAAACUCACCUGGCUCUAGGUUGUUGUGUGUUUGGUUGACUUUUCUUGUUGAAACUAUUCGUAUUGUGAUGCCGUAUUUAUUGUUUUAAGAAACGAAAAGGAAUACUAAUAAGUCUUCAAGCGUUCUCUCAAUGCAUAAUAAGACUUUCUCCAGUUAAGGGGCUUAACUGGCGUACACAGUGUGAGACAUCCAUGCUCUAUUCUGUUUGCAUUUUAGGCAUUUUCUUUGCUCGUAGUAUCUGGCACACAAAGUAGAUGAGUACUACAGUAUUUUUGUUACUUUAAGUCCUGAGAUGCAGGUUCCCUGGUACCAUUGAGUUGCUGCUACUAAAAGCUCACAUGCGGAAUGGCUGAAAGUUACACAUGUGCGAAUGAAGACGGCGUGAGCCUCAGAACUAAAACUGUAUAAAGGGCAACACAUGAGCUGUCAAACAGUGUUAGGCGUGUGUUUGUGUACAUAGCCGUUUUAUUUAAGUCGAUACAGUCCGCUCACAUUGCCAUUAUUUACCAGGUUUGUACAGAGAUAGCAAUUCAUUUGUAAACACUGCCAGAAUAUUUUCUAGCUGGUUUGUAAUUUUUUUAAGACCGUCGCCUUGGGUUUUUGUGUUUUGUUUCUGUUGUUUUCGCCUGUGACUCUCGUUUGCCUUUUUUUUUUUCUGUCGUACAUGUAGCUCUGUCUGUAAAUAGAAUCGCAGUAUUUAAAGCUUUAGCUUUCAGGAAAAACGAAGUAAGAAUCCAAGCGUGUGCAUGACAGGUUGUGUGUGUGAGAAGGGAUCUGAGGAAGAUGCCUUGCGGAGGAGGCUGGGUGACAGUUGGCAGGGUGUGGGAAUGUCUUUCCUACGGGGUGCAGGCUUUUGUAAAAAAGGAAGUGUUUCUCCCAACACUGGGAGUAGGCAAACUACUAAUCAGUUUAGCUUUGUGUUGUAUGCUAGUUUGAAAUAAAUAAAUAAAUAAAUAAAUAAUGUAAUAUAAUGUAAAAAUAGACAAACAAACAAACAAAAGCUUUUAUGAUGGAUUUUGUAAAUAGAUUUGUUACAGGGUGACCUGUUCCAGCUGUGAUCUUACCACUUCAAAUGGAUGUAAUUUGAAUAAAUUUUGUAUGGUAAAGGGUCAAUAAAAUGAUUUUUUUUAAGAGUUC
rnacentral:lncRNA from 1 species